GACAUCUUCUGUGGGUUCUUCGAGGUUAGUAUGCUGUUGUUCGUGUUGUUUAUAUAGAAUGUUUCAAUCAUCUAUUGCCUUUAUGGUUCAUUGGUAUGAAUACUGUUCAAUAAUGCUCUGCUUGAAGUGUAUCAUCACUGGUAUUUUUACUGUUUGUCCUCUAAGCUUAAUCAUGAUAUGAGAUAGGUAGAUGCGCAUGCAUGCAUACAUACAUAUAUUACCAGCCCUUGAGCCAGUUGUCAAUUAUGAAACCCUAUUACACCACUUUCAUUUUUGACCUAUUAUAUCCUGAUACUUUUUCCUCUUUUUGCUCUAUUACACCAUCAAUUAUGAGCAUAUUUAAUUUCCAUGGCUUCUCCAUGGGACGUGUUAAUUUUUUUUAUUUGCCUCUGAAAGUUGGCAUGCUAGUCCUGGCUGAAGUUGAGGCUUUAUUGACAUAUUAUUUGUCCAAGCUUGA
rnacentral:misc_RNA from 1 species